rnacentral:rRNA from 1 species
GUGAGUAACGCGUAUGCAACCUGCCCGUUUCAGCGGGAUAACCCGGAGAAAUCCGGCCUAAUACCGCAUGUGGCCGAGGGGAGGCAUCUUCUUUCGGCCAAAGGAGGCGACUCCGGAGACGGAUGGGCAUGCGUGACAUUAGCUUGUUGGCGGGGUAACGGCCCACCAAGGCGACGAUGUCUAGGGGUUCUGAGAGGAAGGUCCCCCACACUGGUACUGAGACACGGACCAGACUCCUACGGGAGGCAGCAGUGAGGAAUAUUGGUCAAUGGGCGAGAGCCUGAACCAGCCAAGUCGCGUGAAGGAUGACGGCCCUACGGGUUGUAAACUUCUUUUGUCAGGGAGCAAUUGGGUCCACGUGUGGGCUUAGCGAGAGUACCUGAAGAAAAAGCAUCGGCUAACUCCGUGCCAGCAGCCGCGGUAAUACGGAGGAUGCGAGCGUUAUCCGGAUUUAUUGGGUUUAAAGGGUGCGUAGGCGGAAUAUCAAGUCAGCGGUAAAAAUUCGGGGCUCAACCCCGUCGUGCCGUUGAAACUGAUGUUCUUGAGUGGGCGAGAAGUAUGCGGAAUGCGUGGUGUGGCGGUGAAAUGCAUAGAUAUCACGCAGAACUCCGAUUGCGAAGGCAGCAUACCGGCGCCCAACUGACGCUGAAGCACGAAAGCGUGGGUAUCGAACAGGAUUAGAUACCCUGGUAGUCCACGCAGUAAACGAU